GGUCAAUGAUGACUUAGUAAAAGGUCUGAGGGCACAGGGGAAUUACACUCUAUUACCCUUUUGGCUCCCAGCAGUCCCUGUUCUGUCAUGCUAUAGUAGAGCUAUGAUAGAGGAAGAGAUUGCUGACAAUUUGGGAUUAAUUCAGUUCCAGUUCUCCACAGUGAAGGGAGUUGUGGCACUGAAUGUUACCCAACAGAGCUGGUUAAGAGGAGCUCAUGGUAGUGGUGUGUCUUCAUUUUUUUUGUGUGUGAUCUAAAGUUUUCAAGCUGAGACC
ensembl:scaRNA